GUUGAUCCUGCGGGAGAUUGCUGCUAUCGGGAUUCGACUAAGCCAUGCGAGUCAGGGGGUUCUUCGGAACCACCGGCAGAAUGCUCAGUAACACGUUGAUAAUCUAACCUUAAGUCAAGAAUAACCUUGGUAACCUGAGGCUAAUGCUUGAUAGGAGAUGAGCUCUGGAAAGAACAUCUCUCAAACUUACGCUUAAGGAUGAGUCAGCGGCUGAUUAGCCUGAUGGUGGGGUAACGGCCCACCAUAGCUGUGAUCAGUAGGGGCCUUGAGAGAGGGAGCCCCGAGAAGGGCACUGAGAUAAGGGCCCUGGCCCUACGGGGUGCAGCAGGCGCGAAACCUUUACAAUGCACGAAAGUGUGAUAAGGGGAUCCUGAGUGCUUAUGUAAACCAUAAGCUUUUGCCAAAGGUAAAAUCUUUGGCGAAUAAGGGAUGGGCAAGACUGGUGCCAGCAGCCGCGGUAACACCAGCGUCUCAAGUAGCAAUCGCUUUUAUUGGGCCUAAAGCGUCCGUAGCCGGCGUGAUAAGUUUCUCGUGAAAUCGGUAGACUAAAUUUAUCGGCGUGCGAGAAAUACUGUCAUGCUAGGAACUGGGAGGAGUCAGAGGUACUCAUUGGGGAGCGGUAAAAUGUUAUAAUCCUUUGAGGACCACCUGUGGCGAAGGCGUCUGACUAGAACAGAUUCGACGGUGAGGGACGAAAGCUAGGGGAGCAAACCGGACUAGAUACCCGAGUAGUCCUAGCUGUAAACGCUGUGAGCUAGACGUUGCAUAAUCUAAAUGGCUAUGCAGUGCCGAAACGAAGGUGUUAAGCUCACCGCCUGGGAAGUAUAGUCGCAAGGCCGAAACUUAAAGGAAUUGGCGGGGGAGCACUACCAGGGGUGCGGCGUGCUGUUUAAUCUAACUCCACACAGAGAACCUCACCAGCAGCGACGGCAGAAUGAAGGUCAGAUUGAAGGUCUUACCUGACAAGCCGAGAGGUAGUGCAUGGCCGACGUCAGCUCGUGCCGUGAGGUGUCCUCUUAAGUGAGGCAACGAGCAAGACUUACAUCUACAAUUGCCAGCGGGCCUAUUAGGCGUCUGGGCACAUUGUAGAGACUGCCCGGGAAACUGGGAGGAAGGCGUAGGCAACGUUAGGUCUGUAUGCUCCGAAUCUGCUGGGCUACAAGCGCGCAACAAUGGUCGGGACAAUGGGAUGCGACUCUGAAAGGAGAAGCUAAACCCGAAACCCAAUCCUAGUCUAGAUUGAGCUUUGCAACUCAGGCUCAUGACAACGGAAUCCCCAGUAAUUGGAUUUUAUCAGAGUCCAGUGAAUACGUCCCUGCUCCUUGCACACACCGCCCGUCAAACCACUCGAGCAUAGUUACGAUGAGGCUUAGUUUAAUUGGCUAAUUCGAAUCGGGACUAAGCAAGAUGGGUUAAGUCGUCACAAGGUA
rnacentral:rRNA from 1 species